GACAACCAGGAUGUUGGCUUAGAAGCAGCCACCAUUGAAAGAGUGCGUAAUAGCUCACUGGUCGAGUGACCCCGCGCCGAAAAUGUACCGGGGCUAAACAUAUUACCGAAACUGUGGAUGAACCUCUUUAGAGGUUCGUGGUAGGAGAGCGUUCUAAGGGCGGUGAAGUCAGACCGGAAGGACUGGUGGAGCGCUUAGAAGUGAGAAUGCCGGUAUGAGUAGCGAAAGAAGGGUGAGAAUCCCUUCCACCGAAUAUCUAAGGUUUCCUGAGGAAGGCUCGUCCGCUCAGGGUUAGUCGGGACCUAAGCCGAGGCCGAUAGGCGUAGGCGAUGGACAACAGGUAGAGAUUCCUGUACCAGUG
rnacentral:rRNA from 1 species